GUGCAGACGAGCUGGCGCGUUAGCCCCGCGCUAUCCGCAAAUGGGCUUCAUGGCGGGCUUGAAGGAGGGCGUGAGGUAGAGGCAAUCUGGUCUUUUGCCGGACAUUGAGGCGCCGUCCUGCUCGACUCUGCUCGUGUGAAAUGAGUCAGGCCGGGAACGGAGCAGCUCUAAGCAAGAGUUAGGGUGCUUGCAGGAGCGCGGUGCUGAGAAAGGCAAAAGGCAGCCGGCUUGCUAAAACCAGGCAAACUCCCCGUCUGCAC
rnacentral:SRP_RNA from 3 species